rnacentral:rRNA from 1 species
GCCCUACGGGGCGCAGCAGUAGGGAAUCUUCCACAAUGGACGAAAGUCUGAUGGAGCAACGCCGCGUGAGUGAAGAAGGGUUUCGGCUCGUAAAGCUCUGUUGGUAGUGAAGAAAGAUAGAGGGAGUAACUGGCCUUUAUUUGACGGUAAUUACUUAGAAAGUCACGGCUAACUACGUGCCAGCAGCCGCGGUAAUACGUAGGUGGGAAGCGGUGUUCGGAUUUAUUGGGCGUAAAGCGAGUGGAGGCGGUGU